rnacentral:rRNA from 1 species
GCAGUCGAGCGAUGAUGCUCGGUGCUUGCACUGGUGGAUUAGUGGCGAACGGGUGAGUAACACGUGAGUAACCUGCCCCUGACUUCGGGAUAAGCCCGGGAAACUGGGUCUAAUACCGGAUAUGACUUCCUGCUGCAUGGCAGGGGGUGGAAAGAUUUAUCGGUUGGGGAUGGACUCGCGGCCUAUCAGCUUGUUGGUGAGGUAAUGGCUCACCAAGGCGACGACGGGUAGCCGGCCUGAGAGGGUGACCGGCCACACUGGGACUGAGACACGGCCCAGACUCCUACGGGAGGCAGCAGUGGGGAAUAUUGCACAAUGGGCGAAAGCCUGAUGCAGCGACGCCGCGUGAGGGAUGACGGCCUUCGGGUUGUAAACCUCUUUCAGUAGGGAAGAAGCCCCUUUUUGGGGUGACGGUACUUGCAGAAGAAGCGCCGGCUAACUACGUGCCAGCAGCCGCGGUAAUACGUAGGGCGCAAGCGUUAUCCGGAAUUAUUGGGCGUAAAGAGCUCGUAGGCGGUUUGUCGCGUCUGCCGUGAAAGUCCGAGGCUCAACCUCGGAUCUGCGGUGGGUACGGGCAGACUAGAGUGAUGUAGGGGAGACUGGAAUUCCUGGUGUAGCGGUGAAAUGCGCAGAUAUCAGGAGGAACACCGAUGGCGAAGGCAGGUCUCUGGGCAUUUACUGACGCUGAGGAGCGAAAGCAUGGGGAGCGAACAGGAUUAGAUACCCUGGUAGUCCAUGCCGUAAACGUUGGGCACUAGGUGUGGGGGACAUUCCACGUUUUCCGCGCCGUAGCUAACGCAUUAACUGCCCCGCCUGGGGAGUACGGCCGCACGGCUAAAACUCAAAGGAAUUGACGGGGGGCCCGCACAACGGCGGAGCAUGCGGAUUAAUUCGAUGCAACGCGAAGAACCUUACCAAAGCUUGACGUGGUCCAGACCGGGGCAGAGAUGGGUGUGUCCCCUUUUGUGCUGGUUCACAGGUGGUGCAUGGGUGUCGUCAGCUCGUGUCGUGAGAUGUUGGGAUGAGUACCUGCAACGAGCCGCAGGCCGUCAUCCAUGUUUGCCAUCGGGUCAUGCUGGGUACUCAUGGAAA